rnacentral:rRNA from 1 species
UACGUAGGGUGUGAGCGUUGUCCGGAAUUAUUGGGCGUAAAGAGCUCGUAGGCGGUUUGUCGCGUCGGCCGUGAAAUCCCCACGCUUAACGUGGAGCGUGCGGUCGAUACGGGCAGACUUGAGUUCGGUAGGGGAGACUGGAAUUCCUGGAUGUAGCGGUGAAAUGCGCAGAUAUCAGGAGGAACACCGGUGGCGAAGGCGGGUCUCUGGGCCGAUACUGACGC